UUACAUUCCCUGAUAAUAUAGGAAAGGUUUAUAUUCCCUGUUAAUACUUAUGUGAGAGGUUCACAUUCCCUUCUGAUGAGUCCAAUGAGGUCUUAUUUAGGCCUACUAGUCAAACAGCAAGAAGGCCAGCUCAGCCUCACACUACAAAAGAUGGAAGAAUCAUUACAUCAAUCCACCAACAAAACAAGAAAAUGGCUCCACCUAAUGAAAGAACACACUUCAGAGAAUACAUUACUUUUUUCAAACGUG